rnacentral:rRNA from 1 species
CCUACGGGAGGCAGCAGUGGGGAAUUGUUCGCAAUGGGCGCAAGCCUGACGACGCAACGCCGCGUGGAGGACGAAGACUUCGGAUCGUAAACUCCUGUCGAGCGGGACGAACGGCCCGGGACUUAACACGUCUCGGGAGUGACGGUACCGCUAAAGGAAGCCCCGGCUAACUCCGUGCCAGCAGCCGCGGUAAUACGGAGGGUGCGAGCGUUAAUCGGAAUUACUGGGCGUAAAGGGCGCGUAGGCGGUGCGUGGAGUCAGCUGUGAAAGCCCUGGGCUUAACCUGGGAAUGGCAGUUGAGACUGGCGUGCUGGAGUGCGACAGAGGAUGGUGGAAUUCCCGGUGUAGCGGUGAAAUUCGUAGAUAUCGGGAGGAACACCAGUGGCGAAGGCGGCUCUCUGGUCCGAUACUGACGCUGAGACGCGAAAGCGUGGGGAGCAAACAGGAUUAGAUACCCUGGUAGUCCACGCCGUAAACGAUGGGCACUAGGUGUAGGAGGUAUUGACCCCUUCUGUGCCGAAGCUAACGCAUUAAGUGCCCCGCCUGGGGAGUACGGCCGCAAGGCUAAAACUCAAAGGAAUUGACGG